AGCUCACAGAUCCAGAGACCCAGACCAAAGCAACAGCACCACAACACUGACUCAAUAGCUUUUGUUUCACACUCCAGUACUCUUAAGUGAUUUGCAAACUGCCAAUAAACCAAACCGGUUCAAGAACCAUUCUUGUGCUUUUCUGGUGCUUAACUGAUUCUUCUCUGGUCUUAUCUGGUCCGCCCAAUGCUGCUCUUCUGAGAGCAACCGCUCUGACAGCUCUCUCUAGUCUCUACUGGGAAACAGCUAAAAGUCCUUCUGGAGGCUUUGCAUUUGAACUCCUAUGACUGGUUGCGGACUUGAAGGGAACGCCUUCCUGACAUC